CGGGAUGUAGCGCAGCCUGGUAGCGCACUUGCAUGGGGUGCAAGGGGUCGCGAGUUCGAAUCCCGCCAUCCCGACCA
rnacentral:tRNA from 1 species